rnacentral:rRNA from 1 species
CGAGUCUGCCUUGAAGAUCGGAGUGCUUGCACUCUGUGAAACAAGAUACAGGCUAGCGGCGGACGGGUGAGUAACACGUGGGUAACCUGCCCAAGAGAUCGGGAUAACACCUGGAAACAGAUGCUAAUACCGGAUAACAACAGAUGAUGCCUAUCAACUGUUUAAAAGAUGGUUCUGCUAUCACUCUUGGAUGGACCUGCGGUGCAUUAGCUAGUUGGUAGGGUAACGGCCUACCAAGGCGAUGAUGCAUAGCCGAGUUGAGAGACUGAUCGGCCACAUUGGGACUGAGACACGGCCCAAACUCCUACGGGAGGCAGCAGUAGGGAAUCUUCCACAAUGGACGCAAGUCUGAUGGAGCAACGCCGCGUGAGUGAAGAAGGGUUUCGGCUCGUAAAGCUCUGUUGUUGGUGAAGAAGGACGGGGGUAGUAACUGACCUUUGUUUGACGGUAAUCAAUUAGAAAGUCACGGCUAACUACGUGCCAGCAGCCGCGGUAAUACGUAGGUGGCAAGCGUUGUCCGGAUUUAUUGGGCGUAAAGCGAGUGCAGGCGGUUCGAUAAGUCUGAUGUGAAAGCCUUCGGCUCAACCGGAGAAUUGCAUCAGAAACUGUCGAGCUUGAGUACAGAAGAGGAGAGUGGAACUCCAUGUGUAGCGGUGAAAUGCGUAGAUAUAUGGAAGAACACCGGUGGCGAAGGCGGCUCUCUGGUCUGUUACUGACGC